AGACUCUUCUUUUCCACACGGCCAUGCGCACAAUCAUUGAUAGACAUCCCUGAAGGGUGGAAUGAAGAAAGGCGAUUUGCAUCUUUUUGGACCAUUCUUUUUGAGGAAGCACUUGGCGCAGGAUACAGCAAAUGGGAGAAACACGAUCUGUUCUUCGUCCCAAUUUGGGGGGAGAGACAACAAUAUGUUGUCUGCUUUGAUGUGCUGAAUGACAAGAUGAAUAUUAUUGA